rnacentral:lncRNA from 1 species
GAGGAGGGACACAUUUUCCCAAGUCCCAGAGCAAGCUUCUUCUCUGCUCCCUGGAACUUCAGAUGUACGCAGGGCUUAGCUCCAUCGCCUUCGAGUCUCCUGCCCGGGGAAGGCCCUGGAACACUGAGACCAGCUGCUUUCGAUUGCUACUCACUGAAGGAAAAGAAGGAAGAAACAGAGAAAUCUCAGAAUCUGCAUGUAAAGAGGAGUGGGGUUUGUGGAUCCCCACAUAGUAGGCGUUGCCUGGUCCCUGCUUCUAGGAAACUUGGCCUACCACAACAACUGCCAUGUAGGCUUGCUAGCCCAGCUCCUACACUGAAUGAUAGAAACAGCAGUCCUUCCAUAGGCUGGAAGCACCGGCCAGUCAUUUCUGCCCACGGGGACCUGUGGGAUAUGGACCCAGAAGCCAGGAAUGCCAUCGAAUUCUCAGUUCCACAAAGCACCCUGUCCUAUGCAGCUGACAGGGGCAAAAGGGCACUCCAGAGGAGAGGGACUGUAAACCAAGAGGUACUCCCAAAGAACUGUGAAGAAGACAUAGGUACCACAGUGCUGGCAACAAGGGCACAGCUCUUCAGAUAUUGCCCCACCAUUCAGAUCAGCCAGAGUUGCCUGGCCCCACCUGCUGCUGUGCCUCUCAAGGUUGCUAUGGCCACUCCUAUCACUAAAGCUACAGGGU